GAUGAACGCUAGCGGCAGGCUUAAUACAUGCAAGUCGAGGGGCAGCAUGAGUGUAGCAAUACAUUUGAUGGCGACCGGCAAACGGGUGCGGAACACGUACACAACCUUCCUAUAAGUGGGGAAUAGCCCAGAGAAAUUUGGAUUAAUACCCCGUAAUAAAUUGAGUGGCAUCACUUGAUUUUGAAAGCUAUGGCGGUUAUAGAUGGGUAUGCGUCUGAUUAGCUAGUUGGUGAGGUAACGGCUCACCAAGGCGACGAUCAGUAGGGGAUCUGAGAGGACUAACCCCCACACUGGUACUGAGACACGGACCAGACUCCUACGGGAGGCAGCAGUAAGGAAUAUUGGUCAAUGGAGGCAACUCUGAACCAGCCAUGCCGCGUGCAGGAUGACGGCCCUAUGGGUUGUAAACUGCUUUUGUACCAGAGAAAACCUACUCACGUGUGAGUAGCUGAUAGUAUGGUAAGAAUAAGCAUCGGCUAACUUCGUGCCAGCCGCCGCAGUAACAC
rnacentral:rRNA from 1 species